ensembl:lncRNA LINC00293 long intergenic non-protein coding RNA 293
CACAAAUGUGAGGUCACUCUCCAGGCUUGGUACUGCACAGAACAGACAUUGUGACAUAUAUCUAGGCAAAUUGCCUAGAAGUGAAUCCCCUCUCCUGCUUAAGUCCUUCCCACAGAGAGCGGUUUGAUAUGUCACUGAAACCAGCAUCCAGGUGGUAUUGCUCCAUAUGCCUGAGACCCUAACAAAAGCCUAAUUACAACUCAUAUGCCUGGAGCCAGGACAUGUGCAGGAUGCCAUGAUGGUCCAAGUUAUAUUGGGAUUCAGCCAAUAGAAGAUAUUUUGCCUGUCAUCCCUAAGCUUAGGACAAUAGGGUCCUGCCCACAAGAAAGAUUGUGACAUCUCACUGGACAAGCACCCACCCAGACUCUGCCAAGAGAGGGGAUUAUUACAUAUUGCAGAGCCCAGCACCUAGGUGGAGUGACUCUCAUCUUUUUCUUCUACCCCGUAUAUAGCCAGCUUGGUGACCUACUAUUUGAGUCUAUACCCAGGCCCAGACCACAGAUGAAAUUGUGCAAUAUGUGGAACAAACACCUAAACAAUAUAUAACACCUUCCUUGGCUCUGUCUACAAAGGGCACUUUUAUAUAUCACUGGGACCAUCAACCAGGUGAUGUUAAUUAUCUUCCUGAAACCUGUCUACAAAGAGAGUUGUGUCGUAUACCUAGGCCCGUCAUGUGAUGUUGUGCCAUAUAACUGAGACCGUAUCAAAAGCCUAAUAACAAGACGUAUGUCUGGAGCCCCGAUAUGCACAGGAUGGUGAUAUAACCCUCUUCUCUGGAAUGGGCCCCACACAAAGGAAGGAUAGUGACAUAUUGCAAGCCCAGGCACACAGGCCCAGAGCACAGUUGAAAUUGUGACAUAUGUACACCAAGCAACCAAGCAAUGUAUAACACCUCAUUUGGCAAUGGAAUCGAGGGCACUUUUACAUAUCACUGAGACCAGCGCCCAGCUGAUGUGAAAUAUUGGCCUGAACCCUGCCUACAAAAGCAUUGUGGCUUUUAUCUAGCUCCAUUACAUAAGUGAUGUGACUUCCUUCUACUGCCUUGGCCCUGCACUUAUGGUGAAUCGUGACACAAAAUUGGGUAGAGCAACCAGCCUGGGCCCUGACCAGCACAGAGAUUGAGGCAUAUUGCUGAACCCAGGACCAAGAUGAAGUCACUCUCCUGCCUUGAUCCUGCACACAGGGACCCUUGUGACAUAUAUACAGGCCAAUUGCCUAGGUAAAGUUUGUCUCCUCUCCUGCCUAAGCCCUGCCCAUGGGGAGGAUUUAGAUAUAUCACUGAAACCAGCAUCCAGGUGAUAUGACUCUUUUUCCAGAGUCUUGUGACAUUUCACUGGACCAGCACCCACUCAGGUGAUGUGACUUUCCUUUCUUCUCCCCACCCACAGGUGAUGUUGUGCAAUAUACCUGAGACCAGA